rfam:Human gut metagenome DNA, contig sequence: F2-X_000006.
UCCAUCGUGAGGUGGAAUCUGAAGAAAGCCGGAUUUUGGGAGUUGAAAGGUCUCCCAAUGGGCAAAACUCUGGCCUGACGAACAGAAAUCGCAUAUAAGGCCGUCAGCGAGGGUAAGUUUGCAUAACAAAACAAAGCCCAGUAGCUACACGGAAUCGCUUUCGGUAAAUGCGGCAGGUAAAGAGGGAAAGAAUGUGUG